AAGCAGAAACCCAGGGAGGAGAACGUGUCAGAGAUUGAUGUCUGCAAAGCUGAUGGGGAGGGCCAUGUCAAAGAUGAAAUGAGCUGUGGUCCUGGAUUGAACAACAGCUGAGGAAUAUAGAUGCAUUGAACUUUGUGUGAGCACCUGCAGUGGACCAAAGCCCAAAAUAUUGCAGACUGGAUCAGGACAACCAACUGCCACACCCUCGAGGACAAACAGAAUUCAUACUGUUUUUGAUAAAGAAAACAAUGUGUUUGUUGACAGUACUGUUGUUAAUGUUCAAAUAAAAUGGAGACAUUUCAAAGAUGCUGGCUUGUGUAACAGUCAAAAAGAUAAGACUGAGUCACAAAAGAGGACCGGGAUAUGCAACUGCCACACCCUCGAGGACAAA